rnacentral:tRNA from 1 species
GCUCCUAUCGUCUAGCCCGGCCAAGGACUCCAGGCUUUCGAUCUGGCAACGCGGGUUCAAAUCCCGCUGGGAGCA